UUUCCACACCCACCAGAUCCACCUGUUGGUAAACCAGAAUGGAUCAUUAGUGAUGGAUUUCAUGGGAAUAUGUAAACAGAAGAGAUUUAUUGAUUUGUUUUUAAAGCACAAGAGAUUAACUGAUGUUUUUCCUGGGGAGUUUCCUCUUCAGCUGCAGCUCUGGAAGGACUUUGCCCCCUGUGGGUCUGAUCCAGCCUGGAAUCCCUUCGCCUCCUUAAGGCCAGGAUGGAAAUUACUGGGAUGUGAGACAAUUCUGGGAUCGGGAGCAGAUCAGCACAACUCACCAGCACCGGGAGCACCAGAGCCAUGAACCCCCCACAGCACAGGGAGAAGGCCACGGUGUAGGUGAGGAGCAGCGGGAAUGUCGUGGCCAGGGGCCCCAGGAGGUUUGUGAUCCCGCUCAGGACCAGGUAAGUCACGUGGAAAUGGUACUUCUUGGUCCAGUUCUGGUCGGCCACCCAGCCCGAGAGCAGCUGGCUCAGCAUCUCCGUGAUGCCUGAGGGAACAGGAGCCACCAGAAACUCAGAAAACACUUCUUUGGGGAUAGUUUUUCCUCUUUUUCCUUGUGGCACGUCCCAGUUUCACCUGCCUGCUACGACCACAAAGGGCUGAAACGCCAAAAAGUUACAGGGAGGUGUUUUUAGGCUGUUGUAAAAUUGAUAUUUGGGGGUUUUUGCCUUUCCCCAGCUAUUACCAAUCAGUAAAAAUUCAGUCAAGGGCUCUGCACUCAGCAGAAAUCUCUGAAAUGCCCUUCAGUAAAAACAGGGCAGAUAAACUUGCUGUCUGAUCCCUUUUCUGAGAUGGAGAAAAAGCGGAAUAUUAAGAAAUAUGUGCAUGAGAUUUUAAUUUUUCUAAAGAAGCCAAUUGCCCAGCAUUUCUAUAAAGGCUCAGCAAACUUUUGACACUUGUUUUUUUACAUUUCUCGCUACAUUUUUAUGAACCCAAGAUCAGAGGAGAGCUCACUGUCAGCUCGUGUCUUGCACCACUGUGUCCCUCCUACUCUUAGUUCAAAAUACCACCUGAAUUUCUGGGCUCUCCCAAAUCCCUUGACAGCACAUCACUGCUAAAUAUCCCACAGCUCUGUAGAAGGAAAAUGUAUUUUUGUACAAUAAAAUACUUGAAUCUGA